GUGGGAUAAGCCUAAAUAUUCCUGUCUGACCGAUAGCGAACGAGUACCGUGAGGGAAAGGUGAAAAGUACCCCGGGAGGGGAGUGAAACAGUCUCUGAAACCAUGCGCCUACGAACCGUCGGGGCCCUCUUGUGGGGUGACGGCGUGCCUAUCGAAAAAUGAGUCUGCGAGUCAGUGGCAUGUGGCGAGCAUAACCCGUGUGGGGUAUGCGUAGCGAAGGCGAGUCUUAAAAGGCGUUUAAAGUCGCGUGUCCUGGACCCGAAGCGGGAUGAUCUAGCCCUGAGCAGGUUGAAGCGCGGGUAAGACCGUGUGGAGGACCGAACCCACCUGGGUUGAAAACCGGGGGGAUGACUUGGGGCUAGGGGUGA
rnacentral:rRNA from 1 species